rnacentral:rRNA from 1 species
GUGGGGAAUAUUGGGCAAUGGGCGAAAGCCUGACCCAGCAACGCCGCGUGCAGGAAGAAGGUUUUCGGAUCGUAAACUUCUAUCCUUGGUGAAGAUAAUGACGGUAGCCAAGAAGGAAGCCCCGGCUAACUACGUGCCAGCAGCCGCGGUAAUACGUAGGGGGCAAGCGUUGUCCGGAAUGAUUGGGCGUAAAGGGCGCGUAGGCGGCCCGGUAAGUCUGAAGUGACAGUCCUGCUUUUAAGGUGGGAAUUGCUUUGGAUACUGUCGGGCUUGAGUGCAGGAGAGGUAAGCGGAAUACCCUGUGUAGCGGUGAAAUGCGUAGAGAUCGGGAGGAACACCAGUGGCGAAGGCGGCUUACUGGUCUGUAACUGACGCUGAGGCGCGAAAGUGUGGGGAGCAAACAGGAUUAGAAACCCCAGUAGUCC